CCUACGGGGGGCAGCAGUGAGGAAUAUUGGUCAAUGGACGAGAGUCUGAACCAGCCAAGUAGCGUGAAGGAUGACUGCCCUAUGGGUUGUAAACUUCUUUUAUAAAGGAAUAAAACGAGGCACGUGUGCCUUUUUGCAUGUACUUUAUGAAUAAGCAUCGGCUAACUCCGUGCCAGCAGCCGCGGUAAUACGGAGGAUCCGAGCGUUAUCCGGAUUUAUUGGGUUUAAAGGGAGCGUAGAUGGGUUGUUAAGUCAGUUGUGAAAGUUUGCGGCUCAACCGUAAAAUUGCAAUUGAUACUGGAAGUCUUGAGUACAGUUGAGGUAGGCGGAAUGCGUGGUGUAGCGGUGAAAUGCUUAGAUAUCACGAAGAACCCCGAUUGCGAAGGCAGCUUACUAAACUGUGACUGACAUUGAUGCUCGAAAGUGUGGGUAUCAAACAGGAUUAGAUACCCUGGUAGUC
rnacentral:rRNA from 1 species